rnacentral:lncRNA from 1 species
UAUAUUUAGGGAUAAACACAAAGCUAAAUUCUUUAAAUGUCAAGAUUUUGUCUCUGCUGUGGAAGAUGAGUUUAUUUUAACCUUUCAGUAAACCCUUUGUAUUGUCUUCACGUUUUACAUAAUAUACCUCCAAUAGUAAAGGUUUAAAGCCAGUUUCCGUUUACUACAAUCCUUACUAUAAUAUUAAUAACAGAAUGUUAUUAUAUAUUAUAUUACUAUACAGUUAAUGACAGUAUAUUAAUGUGCAUUAUAUUACAAUACCAUUAAUGACAGUACACACUUUUGUUGGAUUAUAUUACAGAGACAGAGGGUCAUAAUCCCACUCACACUAACUAUAUUUCACCAUAAUCCCACUAAUACUAUCUAUAUCAUUUUCAUAAUCCCACUAACACUAUCCAUAUCUCACCAUAAUCCCACUAACACUAUCUAUAUCAUUUUCAUAAUCCCACUAACACUAUCUAUAUGAUUUUCAUAAUCCCACUUGCGCUAUCCAUAUCUCAUCAUAAUCCCACUAACACCAUCUAUUUCUCUCCAUAAUCCCACUCACACUAUACAUAUCUCACCGUAAUCCCACUCACACUAUCCAUAUAAUUUUCUUCAUAAUCCCACUCACACUAUACAUAUCUCACCAUAGUCCCACUCAUACUAUCUAUAUAAUUUUCUUCAUAUUCCCACUAACACUACCUAUAUCUCACCAUAUUCCCACUAACAGGCUGUAUCUGUAUCUCAACCCUGUAUCUGUAUCUCAAGCAAUCUUUACUAUCCCUGUAUCUGAUUCUAUUUUUACUUUCCCUGUAUCUCAAACUAACUUUACUAACCCGAUAUCUGUAUCUUACUCUAACGUUACUAACCCUGUAUCUGUAUUUCAACCUAACUUUACUAUCCCUGUAUCUCAAACUAAUGUUACUAACUCUGUAUCUAUAUAUCAACAUAUCUUUAUUAACCCUGUAUCUGUAUCUCAGCCUAAUUUUACUAACCCUGUAUCUGUAUUUUAACCUAACUUUACUAUCCCUUUAUCUUACUCUAACUUUACUAACCCUGUACCUCAUCCUAACUUUACUAUCCCUGUGUCUCAAACUAACUUUACUAUCCCUGUAUCUCAAACUAACUUUACUAACUCUUUAUCUAUAUAUCAUCUUAACUUUACUUUCUCUGUAUCUCAAACUAACUUUCCUAACCCUGUAUCUGUAUCUCAACCUAACUUUACUAUCCCUGUAUCUCAAACUAACUUUACUAACUCUUUAUCUAUAUAUCAUCUUAACUAUACUUUCUCUGUAUUUCAAACUAACUUUACUAACCCUGUAUCUGUAUCUCAACCUGACUUUACUAACCCUGGAUCUUAAACUAACUUUACUAACCAUGUGUCUAUAUAUCACCCUAACUUUACUAACCAUGUGUCUAUAUAUCACCCUAACUUUACUAACCAUGUGUCUAUAUAUCACCCUAACUUUACUAACCAUGUAUCUAUAUAUCACCCUAACUUUACUAUCCCUGUAUCUAUAUCUCAUCCUAACUUUACUAACCCUACAUCUGUAUCUCAACCUAACUCUACUAACCCUCUAUCUGUAUCUAAACUUAACUCUACUAACCCUCUAUCUGUAUCUAAACCUAACUUUACUAACCCUGUGUGUGUAACACAACCUAACUCUACUAACCCUCUAUCUGUAUCUAAACCUAACUUUACUAACCCUGUAUGUGUAACACAACCUAACUUUCCUAACCUUGUAUUUGUAUCUCAACUUAACUUUACUAACCUUGUAUCUGUAUCUCACCCUAACUUUACUAAUCCUGUAUCUCACUCUAACUUUACUAACCUUGUAUCUUUAACUCAAGCUAACUUUACUAACCUUGUAUCUGUAUCUCACCCCAACUUUACUAAUCCUGUAUCUCACUCUAACUUUACUAACCUUGUAUCUGUAACUCAAGCUAACUUUACUAACCUUGUAUCUGUAUCUCACCCUAACUUUACUAUUCCUGUAGCUGUAUCUUAAUCUAACAUUAAUAACUCUAUAUCUCAUACUAAUAUAAUAAAGUAUCUGUACAUCACCAUAAUUGUAUUAACUCUGCAGCUCACGCAAUAACAUAGUAUCUGUAUCUCAGCCUAAUCUAACACGGUAUCUGGACAUAUCACACUAAUUUUACUAACCCAAUAUCUAAAACUGUUCUUACAGUAACUGUAUCUCAGCCUAAUUUAAUACAGUAACUAUACAGCAGCCUUAUCUAGCACAGUAUCUAUAACUCGCCCUAAUUUUACUAAUCCAGUAUUUCACCUUAAUCUAACACUGCAUCUGUACCUUGUCCUAAUUUUACCAACCCCAUAUCUCAACUCAAUCUAACACAGUAUCGAUACCUCACCCUAAUUAUACUAACACUAUAUCUCAACUUACUCUAGCACAGUGUCAAUACCUCAUCCUAAUUAUACCAACACCAUAUCUCAGCCCAAUCUAGCACAGUAUUGAUACCUCAUGCUAAUUAUACUAACACCAUAUCUCAGCCCAAUCUAGCACAGUAUUGAUACCUCAUGCUAAUUAUACUAACACCAUAUCUCAGCCCAAUAUAGCACAGUAUUGAUACCUCAUGCUAAUUAUACUAAUACCAUAUCUCAACUUAACCUAACACAGUAUCGAUACCUCAUCCUAAUUAUACUAAUACCACAUCUCAACUCAAUCUAGCACAGUAUCGAUACCUCAGCCUAAUUAUACUAACACCAUAUCUCAACCCAAUCUAUCACAGUAUCGAUACCUCACCCUAAUUAUACUAACACCAUAUGUCAACUCAGUCUAGCACAAUAUCGAUACCUCAUCCUAAUUAUACCAAUACCAUAUUUCAACUUAAAGGGACAGUAUAGUCACCAGAACAACUACAGCUUAAUGUAGUUGUUCUGUUGAGUAUAAUAGUUCCCUUAAGGCUUUCUUCAUGUAAACCCAGCCUUUUACAUUGCCUCUAGGGACACCUCCAAGUGGCCACUCCUUAGAUGGCCACUGGACGUGCUUCCUGGGUCAGUGCUGCCGAAAAAGCAGCACUGACAUUCAACGUCCCCAUGCUAUGCGGAGGUCCUGAUUGUCCAAAACGGCAUUUGGCCCUGCCCCGUGCCGGUUUUAGCAAAUCAAAUGCUUUCCUCAUGGGAAAGCAUUAAAUUGGCUAAAAAUCAGCCACUCUGAUUAUGUUACAAAGGGGGCAGAGCCCGUGCUGGCAGCUGGAAAUAAGGUGAGUUUUAAACUUUUAUAGGGGGACUAAGUGGGGGGGCAAGCAACCUAAAUGGUGGGUUAAACACUAUAGGGUCAGGAAUCCAAUGCUUUCUCAUAAUUAUACUAACACCGUAUCUCAACCCAAUCUAGCACAAUAUUGAUACCUCACCCUAAUUAUACUAACACCAUAUCUCAACCCAAUCUGGCACAGUAUCGAUACCUCAUCCUAAUUAUACUAACACCAUAUCUCAACCCAAUCUAGCACAGUAUCGAUACCUCAUCCUAAUUAUACUAACACCAUAUCUCAACCCAAUCUAGCACAGUAUCGACACCUCAUCCUAAUUAUACUAACACCAUAUCUCAACCCAAUCUAGCACAGUAUCGAUACCUCAUCCUAAUUAUACUAACACCAUAUCUCAACCCAAUCUAGCACAGUAUCGAUACCUCAUCCUAAUUAUACUAACACCAUAUCUCAACCCAAUCUAGCACAGUAUCGAUACCUUAUCCUAAUUAUACUAACACCAUAUCUCAACUCAGUCUAGCACAGUAUCGAUACCUUAUCCUAAUUAUACUAACACCAUAUCUCAACUCAGUCUAGCACAGUAUCGAUACCUCAUCCUAAUUAUACUAACACCAUAUCUCAACCCAAUCUAGCACAGUAUCGAUACCUCAUCCUAAUUAUAUUAACUCUGUAUCCCCCGUAACACAUUAUCUGUAUCUCACGUUGAUUAUAUUUACCCUGUAUCUCACCCAAAUAUAACACAGUAACCGUAUCGCAUCCCAAUCCCCCUGGCUGACAUCACGGGGGCCAAGCCAAGGUCCAAUCAAAGGCUUAUUAUAGAGAAGCUUUUGAUUGAAUGAUUUAAUGGGCUCAGAGCACAUCCUUGCACUCUGGAUCCACAAGAUGAAGAAUAAAAGAGGAGGAGGGAAGGCAGGAAGGGCUACAAUCAGUGUGGGAGGGAAGGCAAACAAGAGCUUCCCCUUGCAGACCCUGCUUUUAAGGGAGAAGCAGUUACGUCUGUCGGCAGCGUGCAGUGAUCGCUGACGACAGAUGUGUUUAGUGCAUAGAAUUAACAUUAGGUUCCUAAUAAAGGAUGGAACUUGAAACAGUAUCCUGCACAUCCUGGUUCCUACCGCCAUGACCACUUCAAAAAGCUAACGUGGUGGUUGGGGUAUCCCUUUAAGUCCUAAAAUUACAGCUCAGGCAGGGGUUGGAAUCAGGCAAUAGGUGGAGAAGACUGCUUGAAGUAUUGAUAUAAUUUUCCAGUUGCCUGCAGUUCCUGUCAGGGUAAUUUGCCAAGUGAGCUCUCUUGGAAAUAUGACUUCAUACAAAAAAAAUGUUUUCACCCAUUUUCACUUUACUUGCAGCACAGGUAAAUAACUCAAUGGGCAAGUUGGAGUGUUGAGAUCCUGAGUACGGGUUUUACAAGCUUGCUAGUCCUCUAGUCUACCAAAAACUAUUAAAACAGGCUGACUACAAUUUAAAUAUUUAUAUUAUAAGCUGCCCUAACACACAUUGUCUUAUUAAUGCACAUGCAGAAAGUAAUAGUUAACAGUGACAUAUUAAUGCAUACCUACAAAUUCUGCCUUUAUCAACUAAUGUGCAGAAUCCUGACAAUAUAUAAUUUAAUCAACAACAUUCUUAAUGGGUUAUGAGAAACAUGCAGGCUUACAUUCUAAUGUAUUGUCAUCAUAACGACAGCUGGCAAACUGACCACAAGAUACUUUGUAACAACUUAUUUAUUCUGCAAAAGUAUAUUUAGCACACCAACAGUUUUAUGAAUUCUACAACGUCAUGAUUUUGCCGCAAGAGAACUUCAUCCGUGUUCUCAUCUAGAUUAAAAAAAAUUCUGGUCAGAGUGACAAAACGUCUGAAAACCAAAUUAUAACCCUGUACCUAUAGAGGGCAAAUAUACUUCUCUUUUUUUUUUUUUUUCCUCUCUCUCUUUGUGUGUGUUGGAAUUUUACAUGCAUUUUAAUAAAAGCAAAAAUGUGUGCUUGCGUAAAACAGUGUAAAAUUGUGGGCUUCUUGAUUUAUUUUAAAAAAAAAAUUCUGGGAGGAGGGAGAAAUGUAGAUAAAACAAAUUAACCAUUAUUGUGCUGGGAGCCGCUUCAACUGGUGCAAUUUUAUUUCUCUUCCAUAAUCAGGGACACUGACCUUAUAAGCUAAGAGUGUUAUUGUAAAACAUGCACACAACCUACUCUGUAAUGAACCUUGCACUGUAAUGGUUAGUAUUAUAAAUUAAUAAAAUGUCAAGACUCAUUUUUGAAUUUUUGAUUAUAUCUGGAAAUUAAGCUUUUUG